rnacentral:rRNA from 1 species
CCCUUCGGGGCAAUGGAGACAGGUGGUGCAUGGUUGUCGUCAGCUCGUGUCGUGAGAUGUUGGGUUAAGUCCCGCAACGAGCGCAACCCUUAUUCUUAGUAGCCAGCAGGUAAAGCUGGGCACUCUAAGGAGACUGCCGGGGAUAACCCGGAGGAAGGCGGGGAUGACGUCAAAUCAUCAUGCCCCUUAUGAUUUGGGCUACACACGUGCUACAAUGGCGUAAACAAAGGGAAGCGAGACAGUGAUGUGGAGCAAAUCCCAAAAAUAACGUCUCAGUUCGGAUUGUAGUCUGCAACUCGACUACAUGAAGCUGGAAUCGCUAGUAAUCGCGAAUCAGCAUGUCGCGGUGAAUACGUUCCCGGGUCUUGUACACACCGA